UACGUAGGGUGCAAGCGUUGUCCGGAAUUAUUGGGCGUAAAGAGCUCGUAGGCGGUCUGUCGCGUCUGCUGUGAAAAUCCAGGGCUCAACCCUGGACCUGCAGUGGGUACGGGCAGACUAGAGUGCGGUAGGGGAGAUCGGAAUUCCUGGUGUAGCGGUGAAAUGCGCAGAUAUCAGGAGGAACACCUGCGGCGAAGGCGGGUUGCUGGGCCGACACUGACGCUGAUGCGCGAAAGCUAGGGGAGCGAACGGG
rnacentral:rRNA from 1 species